rnacentral:rRNA from 1 species
GACGAACGCAGGCGGCGUGCCUAAUACAUGCAAGUAGAACGCACAGUUUAUACCGUAGCUUGCUCCACCAUAAACUGUGAGUUGCGAACGGGUGAGUAACGCGUAGGUAACCUGCCUGGUAGCGGGGGAUAACUAUUGGAAACGAUAGCUAAUACCGCAUAAUAUUGAUUAUUGCAUGAUAAUUGAUUGAAAGAUGCUAUUGCAUCACUACCAGAUGGACCUGCGUUGUAUUAGCUAGUAGGUGAGGUAACGGCUCACCUAGGCGACGAUACAUAGCCGACCUGAGAGGGUGAUCGGCCACACUGGGACUGAGACACGGCCCAGACUCCUACGGGAGGCAGCAGUAGGGAAUCUUCGGCAAUAGACGAAAGUCUGACCGAGCAACGCCGCGUGAGUGAAGAAGGUUUUCGGAUCGUAAAGCUCUGUUGUAAGAGAAGAACGGGUGUGAGAGUGGAAAGUUCACACUGUGACGGUAUCUUACCAGAAAGGGACGGCUAACUACGUG